rnacentral:lncRNA from 1 species
AGUAUUUAGGAAUAAUUUAACUUAUAAGUUUUUUGUAUUCUAAUGUUACUUCUUGCGCAACGUGUUUUAAUAAUUUUCUAAAAAGUAUAUCAGCGUAAUUUGUUUAAAAUGGAUCAAGUUAGGGUAUUUGGCUGAGCAGUAGUAUGUCCUCUCAAAUGUUGCAACAUAAGAAGGCUUUGACGCAGACGUAGAGAUUAUUUUCCGUAAACCUGAUGGCGAAUAUGAACAUUAAAGGGAGUAAACGUAAAGGCAGAGAAAACAAAAUAUCGUUUGAAAACCUUAAGUUAAAGGACGUUAUGUUUGAAGCGUUACAAGACAGGUAUACCGUUAGUGAAAAAGAAUUAUUUAGAGUUGUCGGGAAUAAACUAAAGAAUGCACCAGGAAGAUUGAACCAUUCCAUUGAUAUCUAACAUUUAUAUUAUAUUAUAUGUAUAUAGUUUAUGUUAUAGUAUAUAGUUACUUUUUUUAAAUAAAUAAACAAUAAUAUUAUACAA